UGUUACACAAAAACAGUGAAUGGUUGAAUCAAGUGAGUUGUGUUCAGACUGUGGUAAAACUACAGUAAGUUUAACUCCCAUCUUGAUGUUUUCUACGGAGACAUUGAAUGACAAACACAUCUGUGUUGUGGACCAAAAAAAAGCAAGCCACUCCUAAACAGAACCUCUGAUCACCACUAUUGCUGUGGUAAAAAACAGUAUCACAGCACAACUCAAAGCUGCUGUAACGUAAAAGGAAGUCUUGGUGAGUUACAAGAACCAAACACAUUGUGUUUAUUAUUGUCCAUAAUUGUUUUUGCUGCUUCGCACCAGAUUCCAGAGAGAUUGUGACCUCUGAACUCAUUUAACCAGACAUUAUGUACAAACGUGUCACAGUGUCGUGAGUUUAAAUAGUAACAUUAACAUUAGUUACAGUAGCAAUAUGUUCAGAUUGAGGUAGAAGUGAGUUUAACUCCCAUCCUGAUCUUUUCCACAGUGAUAUUAAAUGACAACGGACAUCUGUGUUGUGGACCAAAAGAUAACAAGACAGUCCUCAACAGAGCCUCUGAUCACCACUAUUGCUGUGGUAAAGAACAGUAUGACAACAGAAAUCAAAGAUGCUGUCACGUUAAAGGAAGUCUUGGUGAGUUACAAGCAUAUUGUAUUUAUUGUUGUCCAUAAUUAAUUAAUGCCACAAUUAAACACUGAUGUCUAUACCAAAACCUGAUCUUAAUUUACUGACAUGAGCAUUUAAACUCAAAAAUUCAAACAGUGAAGUUCAGCUUUUGGGUUUAGAGGAGAUUUAACUGUGUUUAAUGAAGUCUUAGAACCAGAUUCUAGAGACAGAGUGCGACCUUUGAACUCAAGUAAACAGACCUUAUGUACAAACGUGUCACAAUUUCGUCAGCUUAAAUAGUAACAUUAACAUUAGGUAGCAACAUGUUCAGACUGAGGUAGAAGUGAGUUUAACUCCCAUCCUGAUCUUUUCUACAGAAAUACUGAAUAACAGCAAACAGCUGUGUUGUGGACCAGAUUAUGACAAGACCGUCCUGACCAGAACCUCUGAUCACCACUAUUGCUGUGGUAAAGAACAGUAUGACAACAGAAAUCAAAGUUGCUGUCACGUUGAAGGAAGUCUUGAAAUAUUGAAUCACAGUGAAAAGCUGUGUUCUGGACCACAUUAUGUCAAGAGAGUCGUGAACAGAACCCCUAAACAACGCUAUUUCUGUGGUAAAGAACAGUAUGACAACAGAAAUCAAAGUUGCUGUCACGUUAAAGGAAAUCAUGAAAUAUUGAAUGACAGCAAACAGCUGUGUUGUGGUCCAAAAGAUAACAAGACAGUCCUGGACAGAACCUCUGAUCAUCACUAUUGCUGUGGUAAAGAACAGUAUGACCACAGAAAUCAAAGUUGCUGUCACACUGAAGGAAAUCUUGUGACACUGAAUAACAGCGAACAGCUGUGUUGUGGACCAGAUUAUGACAAGACCGUCCUGGACAGAACCUCCAUCUACCACUAUUGCUGUGGUAAAGAACAGUAUGACCACACAACUCACAGCUGCUGUAACGUUGAAGGAAGUCUUGUAAUACUGAAUAACAGCGAACAGCUGUGUUGUGGACCAGAACAUAACAAGACAGUCCUGAACAGAACCUCUGAUCAUCACUAUUGCUGUGGUAAAGAACAGUAUGACCACACAACUCACAGCUGCUGUCACGUUGAAGGAAGUCUUGAAAUAUUGAAUGACAGUGAACAGCUGUGUUGUGGACCAGAACAUAACAAGACAGUCCUCAACAGAGCCUCUGAUCACCACUAUUGCUGUGGUAAAGAACAGUAUGACAACAAAACUGAGUGCUGCUGUCACAAGGAAAACCGAAGUCUUCGGAUACAAAAAAAGGACGACAACUGCUGUAAAAAUGAAACAACUGCUGAGCGACCUAAACGUUCAGCGGAGGAACUGUGUGGUAAUGAGACCUAUGACAACAGAACUCACUGCUGCUGUGACACGAGAGAUGAUCUUCAGAUACAACAUAAUGACUCCUACUGCUGUAAAAGUUUGAAACAGCAGACUCACGCACAGUCAUCUGUCGACAGUGAGCCACACAAACGCCUCACUAGGUCUAUAAGGCAGAACAAACGCUGUGGCUGUGGGAGAAAGUGCUGGUGCUGCUGCUCAGGUCGAUGCCCUGCUGUUCCCAUCAAGUGCAAACCACACGUAUGUGUGUGCUGGGAUGGCUGCGUAUCUAAGAGAAAGUCUCAGAUGAUUCAAUGUCAUGACUCGCCUGGACAUCGCUGCUGCUGGAGGAAAACCUUCAGGCCUUGCACUGACAUCUGCUGCGGUGGCCGCAGGACCACAAGUUCUACUUCCCCAAGACAAGAUUCAGAUGCUGCCGUCGAAGGUAUUACAACCCGGCCGUGUGUUCAUGCUGUGCUUCUUCAACAACGAAACCUUUGUUGAAGAAGGUUGAAAGAUGUCUUUGUUGAUCCCAACCAUCGCUCUGUUCUCCGGUCCCUUCAUUUCAUUUUCUCCAGCUGUUCCUAUCAGUAAACCAAAUUCCUUCCAGGGAACACGUGUCUGUCAUUAUACUCAACACGUUAACCACAUUUGUUGACAGUACUUCUCUGAUUGGACUCGGCGGCAACUUUUGACAACUCCAAAGCCUCCACGCAGACGACUGCGUGUGACAUGUGAACCCACAAGCUGUCAUAUAUACAUUAUUAUUGUCUAGCGUGGCCAUUUAUGAGGAGCUCCUUCACUGUGUGGAGCACGGUGACUCACACAUUUACUCACUGUGAAGGACACUACUAGUACUAGUACAGUGCCAAACCAAAGCUACAGGGCUCAAAGCUUAGAUUAUCUAAACUACUGUGGAGCAGCUGGAUCCACUCUUAGUUGCCAUGGUAGCAGGUAAUAGACAGGAAUGUUACUUAACUGCUUUCUGUCCACAUAAGCUAAACUACUACAAGAAAGUUUUCUAUGAAUAUUACAUUCGUCCUUUUUUAAUGUGAUUGUUGCACUGAACUUUAUGAAAAAUGGCAAAUAUUUGCACAUCACUUAAAUUAUUAUGUGUUUACGUUUAAGUGAGAUGAGUCACGAGUGACAAAGCUACUAAUUGAUAAGCACCGUCAAACUAUCAGGGAUAUAAAUGCCAAACUCCUGCCCCAAAGGUUCCACUGGAGGCUCUUGUGUAUGUGAAACAGUUACUAUAUUGACUGUACGGUUGAAUGUAACAUACAGUGGACUCCAGUUGUAUUCAUGCUAAGGUGCUUUUGUACUGUAAUCAGUGAUUAAACUCAUCUGGUGCACAGCACAUUGCUUUUUCAUACAACUGUGUGUUUACUGUAUAUGUGAAUGAUUUCAUCAUAGUUACUGUCUAUAUUCAUAAAACUAUAAACUAUAUCUUAUACUGCAUGUGUAUUUUUAAACGACCCUACUCUGGGUGACGUUUGACUAUUUGUCUUCAAUAAACAACUAUUAUUAUUAAGCCUGUUGUGUUUU
rnacentral:lncRNA from 1 species